rnacentral:rRNA from 1 species
UGGAAGGGCAUUUAGUGGAUGCCUUGGCGAUAAGAGGCGAUGAAGGACGUGGUACGCUGCGUUAAGCCAUGGGGAGCUGCGAACAAGCUUUGAUCCAUGGAUAUCCGAAUGGGGAAACCCGGCCCGCAAGGGUCAUCAUUAUCUGAAUACAUAGGGUAAUGAGGCGAACCUGGGGAACUGAAACAUCUAAGUACCCAGAGGAAAGGACAUCAAUUGAGACUUCCUUAGUAGUGGCGAGCGAACGGGAACCAGGCCAGUGGCUUUAGUGAGACAACCGGAACCGUUUGGAAAGACGGGCCAUAGUGGGUGACAGCCCCGUACGGGUAAUUCGAACUUUAGUCCUCGAGUAGGGCGGGACACGUGAAAUCCUGUCUGAACAUGGGGGGACCAUCCUCCAAGCCUAAGUACUCCUUAUCGACCGAUAGUGAACAAGUACCGUGAGGGAAAGGUGAAAAGCACCCCGACGAGGGGAGUGAAACAGUUCCUGAAACUGGAUGCCUACAAACAGUUGGAGCCCAAGGUUCGUCCUGGGUGACAGCGUACCUUUUGUAUAAUGGGUCAGCGAGUUAAUUUUGCGAGCAAGCUUAAGCCGUUAGGUGUAGGCGUAGCGAAAGCGAGUCUUAAUAGGGCGACUAAGUUUGUUGGAUUAGACCCGAAACCGAGUGAUCUAGGUAUGAGCAGGUUGAAGGUGCAGUAACAUGCACUGGAGGACCGAACCCACGCCUGUUGAAAAAGGCGGGGAUGACUUGUGCCUAGGGGUGAAAGGCCAAUCAAACUCGGAAAUAGCUGGUUCUCCGCGAAAUCUAUUUAGGUAGAGCGUCGUGUGAUCACCUUCGGGGGUAGAGCACUGGAUGGGCUAGGGGGGCGCGAGCCUUACCAAACCUAACCAAACUCCGAAUACCGAAGAGUGCAGCGCGGCAGACAGACGGCGGGUGCUAAGGUCCGUCGUCGAGAGGGAAACAGCCCAGACCGCCAGCUAAGGUCCCCAAGUCACGGCUAAGUGGGAAAGGAUGUGGGAAGACCAAGACAACCAGGAGGUUGGCUUAGAAGCAGCCACCCUUUAAAGAAAGCGUAACAGCUCACUGGUCUAGUUAA